rnacentral:rRNA from 1 species
CCUACGGGAGGCAGCAGUAGGGAAUCUUCCACAAUGGACGAAAGUCUGAUGGAGCAACGCCGCGUGCGUGAAGAAGGGUUUCGGAUCGUAAAGCCCUGUUGGUAGAGAAGAAAGAGCGUGAUCGUAACUGUCCUCGUUUCGACGGUAUCUACCCAGAAAGCCACGGCUAACUACGUGCCAGCAGCCGCGGUAAUACGGAGGUGGCAAGCGUUAUCCGGAUUUAUUGGGCGUAAAGGGAACGCAGGCGGUUUUUUAAGUCUGAUGUGAAAGCCUUCGGCUUAACCGGAGUAUUGCAUUGGAAACUGGUAGACUUGAGUGCAGAAUGGGAGAGUGGAACUCCAUGUGUAGCGGUGAAAUGCGUAGAUAUAUGGAAGAACACCAGUGGCGAAGGCGGCUCUCUGGUCUGUAACUGACGCUGAGGUUCGAAAGCGUGGGUAGCAAACAGGAUUAGAUACCCCUGUAGUC